rnacentral:rRNA from 1 species
UUGCCGCAGUAUUUUGACUGUGCGAAGGUAGCGUGAUAAUUAGGCUAUUAAUUGUAGUCUUGUAUGAAUGGCUAGACAUAAAAUCUUCUGUUUUACUUAUAUAAAUGAAUUUUAAUAAUUAGUAAAAAUGCUAAUAUGAAGUAUGAGGACGAGAAGACCCUAUUGAGUUUAAUAUGGCUGUUUUUAAAAUGGUAGUGAAAUUAAAAAAUAAGUAUAUUUGGUUGGGGCGACUUUAUUAAAAAACAAUAAAUAUUAAAUGUAAUUGUUGAUCCAUUAUUAAUGAUUAAUAGAACAAAUUACCAUAGGGAUAACAGCAUAAUUUUUUCUUAGAGUUCUUAUCGAUGAUGAAGUUUGUGACCUCGAUGUUGAAUUAAGAUACCUAAUAGGCGCAGGAGCUUAAUAAGGUAGACUGUUCGUCUAUUAAAUUCUUACG